AAUGUGAGUAAGAAUAUUGAUGAAAAGGUAAAGUUUGUCUCUUUUCUUGAGAAAGAUAAUCUUCUCUAAAAAGUAUUCUUAUGAAGUGAAUAUUACAUGACCCAUCCCAUUGUCUCCUUUUCUAUUUAUAAGAAACAUGUCUCUAACAAACUCUAAUAAUACAAAAUGUAGAGAAUAUCCAAUAAAGUAUUCUCUUUAAUAUCAUAUUUCAAUCAUUAGUCGUUACUAUUCUUUACACGAUGCUCGACCUCAUCAUGGUGACAUCUCAGCCAUGAACCCUGCUGUUUUUAUCGACCUCGGCCAUCUUUUUCCUUAAUGCCAUUGUAUACGGCGAAAUCGUAGGAGCCAAUUUCUCGUUGUUAAGGCAUUUCGGAAGGUCACCUUGGAGUUUCGAGACCGCAUGCCGAGUACUCUCCCUCGAGGGUCGUCAACACUCGAACUCAGGAUAACGACGACCUCGAUAAUGGUUGUCACACCCCUUUUUUACACUUCACUAACCCUCUGAAAUUAAUAAAAAGAAUUUGUAAAUCUCAAAAAGGGGUUUUUUUAAUUAAAAGUUACGAAAUUGUGUUCAAAAGAAAAUAACUUAGAGUCGUCACCUGACAUUUGAUUUCGGUGUGUCAGGUCACCGUUUUUUUUUCUAAAAAUAAUUUUUUCCUUUCAAAAUACUUGAGACUCCAAAACUAAAUAUGCAUCAGAGAUUCGGGUAAGGGGGUUCAUUUGACUCGGAAGAAGGUGUUAGGUACUCCCCAAGUCCCGUAACUAGUAAGGUUGCGCACUUGAUCAAAUUGGUUUUUAAAUAUUCAAAUUGAGGUAAAAAUAAACGUAGAAAAGAAAAAUAAACACACAAGAGGCUUGAGGUCGCCCCUACCUAAUAUAAGAAAAAUGAAAAUAAAAAUAAAAUACUAAGAGUUUUACUUUCGGCCUCCAAAUACAAAUACUUCGGGGCAAUACCCCGGAUAAAAAUAUAUACAAAUCUUUCGAGGCAUUCCCUAGUUAAAAUUAACUAAGGGAACAACCUCUCGCUUCAAAAACUGAAAAAAUCCUAAAGUUUUCCUACUCAGAUGAUGACGGCCUAAACAUGCUCCCACCGUCCGAGUAACUAAAAUCAACAAUAAAAUAAAGCUAUGAACUAUUUAAGCUUUAGUUUCUCCUUAGUUUUGGUUAAGACUCAUGCGCCGCAACUCAAUCACGAUUCAACUAAUGACCGUUCUAGUUCUUGACAAUAUGGGUGAUAAGUUUAUAUUUAAUUUUAACUUAGUCAGCAACCCUCACAAUCUAUUAAGUUAGGAUGACCUAAAUCACCACAUCAUUAUUAUAUUAUGAUAAUAAUCUAACAAACAUUCAACCUCAAAUGAAAGAUUAACAAAACAUAUUUCCGAAACCCAAUUCAGUUUAGGUCAACCAAUCCAUAGCAAAGCACAUCAUGAAAAACAAAUUUCAACUAGGAAUAACAUCACAUAUUGUUUAUAAUGAAAUCCCAUACACAAUAUUAAGUUAAAAGAGCAAGAAAUGGACCUUUAUGAUCAAGCUUUCAAUUAAAUAGAAUCAGCCACGAAUGAAUUGCAAACGAAAAUCACUGACCGAAUUGUAUCAAAAAUCGACAUGAGACGGAGACCGCGCCAGCAACAUCGACGAACCCACGAUUAGGCAGCCUCCAAACAGAGAUUCAAAUAAAGGAUUCAAAUUGGGGUAGUUUUUCCAAAUUCAGCGUAUUUUUUAUCGCUAUUUUCCCACCUUUUCUUACGUUUCAGAUAAGUUUUUGGAACCUCUUGUUGUUGUUGUAGGUGUCUUCUAGGUUCAGGGGGUGCCGGCGACCGGUGGGUGUGAACAACAUUGGAAUGGUUUUUGUAGGUGGUGUGUCUACUAGGAGAUGGAGAGAAAGUCCAGCGGCGUGUGUAGGUUGAUAACAGCGGAGGUCUUGGAGAGGAGAUGUGGUGGGGUCGAUGGAUGGUGGUUUGUCUUAAAGCGGCAGCUACAUCGGUUGAGAGGAUUCCGGGUGGCGACUGUUGCUUGUGUCUAAGGUUAUGAAGAAGAAGAAAAUGGCUGAAGGUUCUCUUAGGUUUAGUUCCGUCUUUUCUUAAGAAGAAGCUCACGCCUUAUACCAAAAAUGUCCAUGUCUCCUCUAGGGUUCAGCCCUUGUGUCUAUUCAAGAAAAAGGAGUGGCUCCAAGUUCUACGGCUAGGUUUUUAUUUUUAAGCUUAAGUUUUUUUAGUUCAAAAA
rnacentral:lncRNA from 1 species